AUUGCCCCAGUAACGGCGAGUGAAGCGGCAAAAGCUCAAAUUUGAAAUCCUGCGGGAAUUGUAAUUUGAAGGUUUCGUGGUCUGAGUCGGCCGCGCCCAAGUCCAUUGGAACAUGGCGCCUGGGAGGGUGAGAGCCCCGUAUGGCGCACGCCGACUCUUUGUACACCGCGGCUCCGACGAGUCGAGUUGUUUGGGAAUGCAGCUCUAAGUGGGUGGUAAAUUCCAUCUAAAGCUAAAUAUUGGCGAGAGACCGAUAGCGAACAAGUACAGUGAUGGAAAGAUGAAAAGCACUUUGAAAAGAGAGUGAAACAGCACGUGAAAUUGUUGAAAGGGAAGGGCUUGCAAGCAGACACGGUUUUACCGGGCCAGCGUCGAAAAGGGGGGAGGAACAAGAACUCGAGAAUGUGGCGCGCACCUUCGGGCGCGCGUGUUAUAGCUCGUGUUUGACGCCUCCAUCCCUUUUCGAGGUCUGCGAUUCUAUGGACGCUGGCGUAAUGGUUGCAAACCGCCCCUCCUGAAACACGAACCANAAAA
rnacentral:rRNA from 1 species